rnacentral:other from 1 species
GAUACCCUGCUGUGUGCGUGUGAGUGCUUUCCGGUUUUGGGCCAACACUCUUCAAAUAGGGACCGGGCUCACCGCGGGUAUGCGAUAGGCUGGAGCCAAGGCAGAGCUGAGGUGGACGGUCCCGCACCUGGUUUUUCCAGGUUCAAAACUUUGCACCAUGCGGCACGGCGGGGUUCUU